rnacentral:rRNA from 1 species
CCUACGGGGUGCAGCAGUGAGGAAUAUUGGUCAAUGGACGAGAGUCUGAACCAGCCAAGUAGCGUGAAGGAUGACUGCCCUAUGGGUUGUAAACUUCUUUUAUAUGGGAAUAAAAUGUUCCACGUGUGGGAUUUUGUAUGUACCAUAUGAAUAAGGAUCGGCUAACUCCGUGCCAGCAGCCGCGGUAAUACGGAGGAUCCGAGCGUUAUCCGGAUUUAUUGGGUUUAAAGGGAGCGUAGGUGGAUUGUUAAGUCAGUUGUGAAAGUUUGCGGCUCAACCGUAAAAUUGCAGUUGAAACUGGCAGUCUUGAGUACAGUAGGGGUGGGCGGAAUGCGUGGUGUAGCGGUGAAAUGCUUAGAUAUCACGAAGAACUCCGAUUGCGAAGGCAGUUCACUGGACUGCAACUGACACUGAGGCUCGAAAGUGUGGGUAUCAAACAGGAUUAGAUACCCUAGUAGUC